ensembl:snRNA U6 U6 spliceosomal RNA
GUGUUCACUUCAGCAGCACAUGUACUAAAAUUGGAAAGAUAUGGAGAAGAUUAGCAUAGCCCCUGUGCAAGGAUGACACACAAAAUUGUGAAGCAUUCCAUAUUUGU